rnacentral:rRNA from 1 species
CCUACGGGAGGCAGCAGUGGGGGAUAUUGCACAAUGGGGGAAACCCUGAUGCAGCGAUGCCGCGUGAAUGAAGACGGCCUUCGGGUUGUAAAGGUCUGUCGCAGGGGACGAAAAUGACGGUACCCUGCAAGAAAGCUCCGGCUAACGACGUGCCAGCAGCCGCGGUAAUACGAAGGGAGCAAGCGUUGUCCGGAAUUACUGGGUGUAAAGGGAGCGUAGGCGGGAGGAGAAGUUGACUGUGAAAUCUAUGGGCUCAACCCAUAGCUGCGUUCAAAACUGUUCUUCUUGAGUGAAGUAGAGGCAGGCGGAAUUCCUCGUGUAGCGGUGACAUGCUUCGAUAUUAGGAGGAACCCCAGUGGCGACGGCGGCCUGCUGGGCUUUUCCUGCCGCUGAGGCUCGAAAGCGUGGGUAGCAAACAGGAUUAGCUACCCGGGUAGUC